rnacentral:rRNA from 1 species
UACGUAGGGUGCAAGCGUUGUCCGGAAUUAUUUGGGCGUAAAGAGCUCGUAGGCGGUCUGUCACGUCGGCUGUGAAAACCCGAGGCUCAACCUCGGGCCUGCAGUCGAUACGGGCAAACUAGAGUACUGCAGGGGAGACUGGAAUUCCUGGUGUAGCGGUGAAAUGCGCAGAUAUCAGGAGGAACACCGGUGGCGAAGGCGGGUCUCUGGGCCGUAACUGACGCUGAGGAGCGAAAGCAUGGGGAGCGAACAGG